GUGGGGAAUUUUGGACAAUGGGCGCAAGCCUGAUCCAGCCAUGCCGCGUGAGUGAAGAAGGCCUUCGGGUUGUAAAGCUCUUUCGUCGGGGACGAAAUAGCGCGGGGUAAUAUCUCGCGUUGAUGACGGUACCCGAAGAAGAAGGACCGGCUAACUACGUGCCAGCAGCCGCGGUAAUACGUAGGGUCCAAGCGUUAAUCGGAAUUACUGGGCGUAAAGCGUGUGUAGGCGGUCUCGCAAGUCCGAUGUGAAAUCCCCGGGCUCAACCUGGGAACUGCGUUGGAAACUACGAGGCUAGAGUGCGGCAGAGGGGGGUGGAAUUCCAGGUGUAGCAGUGAAAUGCGUAGAUAUCUGGAGGAACACCGAUGGCGAAGGCAGCCCCCUGGGUUAGCACUGACGCUGAUACACGAAAGCGUGGGGAGCAAACAGGAUUAGAUACCCUAGUAGUCC
rnacentral:rRNA from 1 species